rnacentral:rRNA from 1 species
AUUGAACGCUAGCGGGAUGCCUUACACAUGCAAGUCGAACGGCGUGGCGAACGGGUGCGUAAUGUAUCGGAACGUGCCCAGUAGCGGGGGAUAACUACGAGAAAGCGUAGCUAAUGCCGCAUCCUCUUGGAGUGGCCGAUAUCGGAUUGGCUAGUUGGUGGGGUAACGGCUUACCAAGGCGACGAGCCGUAGCUGGUUUGAGAGGACGACCAUCCACACUGGGACUGAGACACGGCCCCGACUCCUACGGGAGGCAGCAGUGGGGAAUUUUGGACAAUGGGGGAAACCCUGAUCCAGCCAUCCCGCGUGUGCGAUGAAGGCCUUCGGGUUGGAAAGCACUUUUGGCAGGAAAGCGGUACCUGCAGAAUAAGCACCGGCUAACUACGUGCCAGCAGCCGCGGUAAUAC